GAUGAACGCUGGCGGCGUGCUUAACACAUGCAAGUCGAACGGAAAGGCCCUGCGCUUGUGGCGUUCUCGAUUGGCGAACGGGUGAGUAACACGUGAGUAACCUGCCCUUGACAUUCGGAUAACUUCAGGAAAAUGGGGCUCAUACAGGAUAGGAGCUCCUGCUGCAUGGUGGGGGUUGGAGAGUUUCGGCGGUUGGGGCUGGACUCGCGGCUUAUCAGCUUGUUGGUCGGGUAGGGGAUUUCCAAGGCUUUGACGGGUAGGCGGCCUGAGAGCGUGACCGGCCACAUUGGGACUGAGAUACGGCCCAGACGCCAACGGGAGGCAGUAGUCGGGAAUAUGGCGCAAUGGGCGGAAGUCUGAUGCAGCAAUGCUGCGUGCGGGAUGACGGCUUACGGGUUGUAAACCGAUGUCGCCUGUGACGAAGAGUGAGUGACGGUAAUGGGUAAAGAAGCACCGGCUAACUACGUG
rnacentral:rRNA from 1 species